rnacentral:rRNA from 1 species
UAGAGGUUCGAAGGCGAUCAGAUACCGCCCUAGUUCUAACCAUAAACGAUGCCAGCUAGCGAUCCGCAGUUGUUUAUUUUUACGACUCUGCGGGAAGCUUCCGGGAAACCAAAGCUUUUGGGUUCCGGGGGAAGUAUGGUUGCAAAGCUGAAACUUAAAGGAAUUGACGGAAGGGCACCACCAGGAGUGGAGCCUGCGGCUUAAUUUGACUCAACACGGGAAAUCUCACCAGGCCCGGACACUGGAAGGAUUGACAGAUUGAGAGCUCUUUCUCGAUUCGGUGGGUGGUGGUGCAUGGCCGUUCUUAGUUGGUGGAGUGAUUUGUCUGGUUAAUUCCGAUAACGAACGAGACUCUGUCCUGCUAAAUAGAGUUAACGUCAUUUUUUUUGCGUUAACUUUUCUUCUUAGAGGGACUGGUGGCGUCUAGCCACACGAGAUUGAGCAAUAACAGGUCUGUGAUGCCCUUAGAUGUUCUGGGCUGCACGCGCGCUACACUGAAGGGAUCAGCGUGUUUUCCCUGGCCGAGAGGUUCGGGUAACCCGUUGAACCCCCUUCGUGGUAGGGAUCGGGGCUUGCAAUUAUUCCCCGUGAACCAGGAAUUCCCAGUAAGCGUAAGUCAUAAGCUUACGUUGAUUACGUCCCUGCCCUUUGUACACACCGCCCGUCGCUACUACCGAUUGAACGUUUUAGUGAGGUAUUU